GAUUUCGUAGCUCAGUUGGUAGAGCAAUACACUUUUAAUGUAUGGGCCCUGGGUUCGAGUCCCAGCGAAAUCA
rnacentral:tRNA from 1 species